GCUGAGAUAGCUGGUUCUCCCCGAAAUAGCUUUAGGGCUAGCCUGAGGUAGUAAGUAUAGGCGGUAGAGCACUGAUCGGGCUAGGGGCCGUAAAGGUUACCGAACCCUGUCAAACUCCGAAUGGAUAUACUGUAGAGCCUUGGAGUCAGACUACGAGUGAUAAGAUCCGUGGUCAAAAGGGAAACAGCCCAGACCACCAGCUAAGGUCCCCAAUGUCGUACUAAGUGGAAAAGGAUGUGGGGUUUCAUAAACAACCAGGAUGUUGGCUCAGAAGCAGCCACCAUUUAAAGAGUGCGUAAUAGCUCACUGGUCGAGAGACCCUGCGCCGAAGAUUCCCGGGGCUAAAGUACGAAACCGAAGCUGUGGCUGUAUACGUAAAGUAUACGGGGUAGGGGAGCGUUCCCAUAGGGUAGAAGUCGAACUGGAAGGUUCGGUGGACUUGUGGGAAGUGAGAAUGUUGGUAUGAGUAGCGAAAAGAAAGGUGAGAAUCCUUUCCACCGAAAGCAUAAGGAUUCCUGAGCAACGAUCGUCGUCUCAGGGUAAGUCGGGACCUAAUCCGAGGCAGAGAGCGUAGGAGAUGGACAACUGGUUGAUAUUCCAGUACCGGUAGUAAUUGUUUGAGCAAUGGAGUGACACAGAAGGGCAGGCAAGCAUGCGAAUGGAAGAGCAUGUGUAAGCGUGUAGGGUGGUGCAUAGGCAAAUCCGUGCACUGAAAGCCUGAGGCGUGAUGCGGAGUGAGCAGAGAUGCGAGCGAAGUUGUUGACCCCACACUGUCGAGAAAAGCUUCUAGUGAGAGAGCUACCGCCCGUACCGUAAACCGACACAGGUAUGCGGGGAGAGAAUCCUAAGGUGCGCGGGAGAACCCUCGUUAAGGAACUCGGCAAAAUGUACCCGUAACUUCGGGAUAAGGGUAGCCACUGUUGUGAAGUCCCAUGCGGAUGGAGCAUAGAGUGGUCGCAGAGAAGAGGCCCAAGCGACUGUUUACCAUAAACACAGGUGCCUGCUAAAGCGAAAGCUGACGUAUAGGUGCUGACACCUGCCCAGUGCCGGAAGGUUAAGGAAGGAUGUUCGGAUUAGUCCAAAGCAUUCGACUGAAGCCCCGGUGAACGGCGGCCGUAACUAUAACGGUCCUAAGGUAGCGAAAUUCCUUGUCGGGUAAG
rnacentral:rRNA from 1 species